rnacentral:rRNA from 1 species
GGUGUCAGACCCGUUGAGGCGUGUUCGUGCGACUAUUGAUGCUUCCUAUGAGUCGGAUUGUUUGAGAAUGCAGUCCAAAUUCGGUGGUAAACUCCAUCUAAGGCUAAAUACUUGUACGAGUCCGAUAGCAAACAAGUACCGUGAGGGAAAGUUGAAAAGAACUUUGAAGAGAGAGUUAAAUAGUACGUGAAAUCGCUUAGAGGUAAACGAGUGGAGCCGAAAAGGUUGGGCGGGAUUCAGUUGGGCGUGCGAUGGCAAUCGGUUGGGUAAAAACCUCAUCUGGCAUUACUCGAUCGGUUGUUGUUGUGCGCUCGAUGCACUUUCUGUUCGACUGGACUGUGACCGAUAGUGUCGUUCGUUAGUAGUGGCGAGAAGGUGAUCAUUUGUUCGUCAUUUGGUUUUAUAGCUCGUCACUCGAAUGAAUGUGGUGUAUCGGUGAAUUGCAAUCGGUCAAUGUUGGCGGUCGGUUGUGUGCGCCGUUCGAUGGUAGGCUAUAUUUAGACUGCUGUUGGGCGGUGUGCGUGAUCGGUCGUCGAUGGAUCGGUUUAAAGUCGCAGUAAUAUGUAGGCAAUCUACUCGUCCCGUCUUGAAACACGGACCAAGGAGUUUUAUAUGAUCGCGAGUCAAAGGGCUUUACGAAACCCCAGGGCGCAAUUAAUGUAAAGGUCUGCUUAGGCAGGCUGUGAUGUGACCGGGAAUAAUUUCCUGUGCAAUAUCGACCCGUCUGAAGGUGUUCGCAUCUGGGCGGAGUUUGAGCGAUCAUGUAGAGACCCGAAAGAUGGUGAACUAUGCUUGUGCAGGUUGAAGUCAGAGGAAACUCUGAUGGAGGACCGCCGCGGUUCUGACGUGCAAAUCGAUCGUCGGACAUGAGUAUAGGGGCGAAAGACUAAUCGAACCAUCUAGUAGCUGGUUCCCUCCGAAGUUUCCCUCAGGAUAGCUGGCAUUUGUUGUCGUAGUUUUACCUGGUAAAGCGAAUGAUUAGAAGUAUUGGGGGCGAAAUGCCUUCAACUUAUUCUCAAACUUUAAAUGGGUUCGAUGUGUGACUCGCUUCAUUGGAGUUGCACGUUGAAUACGAGUGCCUAGUGGGCCAUUUUUGGUAAGCAGAACUGGCGAUGUGGGAUGAACCAAACAUUCGGUUAAGGUGCCUAACACCACGCUCAUGAGAUCCCACAAAAGGUGUUGGUUGAUAAAGACAGCAGGACGGUGCUCUUGGAAGUCGGCAUCCGCUAAGGAGUGUGUAACAACUCACCUGCCGAAUCAACCAGCCCUGAAA